rnacentral:rRNA from 1 species
UACGAAGGGGGCUAGCGUUGCUCGGAAUCACUGGGCGUAAAGCGCACGUAGGCGGAUUUCUAAGUCAGGGGUGAAAUCCUGGAGCUCAACUCCAGAACUGCCUUUGAUACUGGGAAUCUCGAGUCCGGGAGAGGUGAGUGGAACUGCGAGUGUAGAGGUGAAAUUCGUAGAUAUUCGCAAGAACACCAGUGGCGAAGGCGGCUCACUGGCUCGGUACUGACGCUGAGGUGCGAAAGCGUGGGGAGCAAACAGGG